rnacentral:rRNA from 1 species
CAGGACGAACGCUGGCGGCGUGCCUAACACAUGCAAGUCGAACGGGGAUUUGUUUCGGCAGAAUCCUAGUGGCGAACGGGUGAGUAACGCGUAGGCAACCUGCCCUCCGGCCGGGGACAACACUCCGAAAGGGGUGCUAAUACCGGAUACGAAGUCUGUGCCGCAUGGUACGGAUUUGAAAGAUGGCCUCUAUUUAUAAGCUAUCGCCGGGGGAUGGGCCUGCGUCCGAUUAGCUGGUUGGUGGGGUAACGGCCUACCAAGGCGACGAUCGGUAGCCGGUCUGAGAGGAUGAACGGCCACAUUGGGACUGAGACACGGCCCAGACUCCUACGGGAGGCAGCAGUGGGGAAUCUUCCGCAAUGGGCGCAAGCCUGACGGAGCAACGCCGCCGUGAGUGAGGAAGUUCUUCGGGACGUAAAGCUCUGUUGUUCCUGACGAACCUCCCUUCUAUCAACAACGGAGGGGACUGACGGUAGGGAACGAGGAAGCCACGGCUAACUACGUGCCAGCAGCCGC